UCCCAGCGCCACUUUCUAGACCAGCCAGCAGUGAGUCUCCACAUCUCAUUUUUCACUUCAUCCCCUGCCUUGCCUUAACUUCUCCAACAUGGACUCAAGAUCUUCUCGGAUGUCCUUCACCCGCUCUGCCCCGGCAUACCGCGCUUCCAGCAUUUAUGCGGGUGCUGGUGGAAAGGGUGCUCGAAUCUCCUCUGCCUCCUCAUUAUCCCUGCGUUCUGGUCCUCCACUUGCAUCUUCUUCAACUGCCUUUAAGCUGAGCAGUGGAAUGGGUGGAGGUGUGGGCUCUGGCUUUGGUGGUGCCGGUGCAUCCGUGACAGCCAGCGGCGGUACCAGUUCUUCGAUCCUGGGCAAUGAGAAGGGAGCCAUGCAGAACCUGAAUGACCGCCUGGCCAAUUACCUGGAGACAGUGAGGACCCUGGAAAAGGCCAACAAGGAACUGGAGCUGAAGAUUAGGGCAGCACUGGAGAAAGGAGGGCCUGACAUGACAGACUACAGCAAGUAUGAGCCCAUCAUAAAUGACUUACGCAAACAGAUCUUCGAUAAGAUAACGGAGAACGCUCGUUUAGUGCUCCAGAUUGACAACGCCCGUCUCGCUGCAGACGACUUCAAAGUAAAGUCUGAGAAUGAGAUGGCAAUCCGCCUGUCUGUGGAGGCUGACAUUGCCGGGCUGAAGAAAGUCAUCGACGACACUAACAUGACCAGGAUAAACAUCGAGAAUGAGAUUGAGGCUGUGAAGGAGGAGCUUCUGUUCCUGAAGAAGAACCAUGAGAAUGAGGUGAUGGAGCUGAGGAAUCAGAUCUCACAGUCAGGUGUGCAAGUGGAUGUAGACGCUCCCAAAGGUCAAGACUUGUCCCAGAUCAUGGAGGACAUGAGAACCAACUAUGAAAAGAUUGCAGUGAAAAAUGCAGAGGACCUCAAACGGUGGCAUGAAAAUCAGAUCGCAGAUGUGCAGGUGCAGGUUUCACAGAACACAGAAGCUCUCCAAGGGGCCCAGAUGGAGAGGAGUGACUUAUCACGACAGAUACAGACUCUGGAAAUUGAACUUGCAUCUCAACAGAGCUUAAAAGCCUCUUUAGAGGACACUCUACGCAACACAGAGCUACGUAACAACAUGGAAAUGGAAAAGUAUAACUCCAUCAUUAUCCGACUGGAGGAAGAGCUGGCCAACUUACGCGCAAAUAUACAGCAACAGACCCAAGAGUACGAGGCACUGCUCAACAUGAAGAUGAAACUUGAGAGCGAGAUCAGCACUUACAAGACUCUGCUGGAUGGUGGAGACCUCAAGUAAGAGCUAUAAAGAUGUGUUGGAGAAAAAAAAAAGCAGGUCAAGGCACGAUGAUGGUGAUGGUGGAGGCUCCAGGACGCGCUGGACGAACUGGUGGAUGCAAGCUAAUUUGGAACAAAGGAUUGGGAGUCAUUGCAACAAUGACAGCAAAGCUGCCAAAACCCAUCAAUUGUGGGGGGGCGGUGGAGUUUUGACAUUUUUUGCACUAUAACCACAAGUCAUGUGAAGCUUGAUUUAAGCAAUUCUGAAUACAGACAUUAUUCCACCACAGUGAAACUAAAACCACUUCCUGAUCUGCCAGAAAAAUGAAUAAAACCUCUUCUUAAACCUGCA